UUUUCUCACUUAUUUCUCCCACAUGAAGAUGACGUCCCCAGGCUUAAUCCUACCGAUUUAGAUUUGAUUGGCUCAUAUUUUGUCUCCGAGCAGCUGUUAACACCUGAAGUCAAAAAUCACUUGUGGUGCAAAAAUAGGUGAGCACAUAGGUGUGUAGGUGCAUUACUACUUUUUCUUAUUAUUUUCAAUAAAUAUUUUUCAACUAUUAUUACACUAGAACGGCCUAGUGCCUGGUAGGAACAUAAACACGUGACACAGGUGGAGCAGUUGCGUCCGGGUCGCUAAGGGGGCGGACCACCGCUCUAUGCUCACGUGCGUUUGGGAUGAAACUGAACGACAGCAGCUUGUGUCAUCUCCCUUCUUGUAUCUACCUGUUUACAGUAACAUGUACUCGGGAUUCGGCCUACAGUUUCGUGCGAGUCCUGUUUGAAUUCAAGAUGCAAGUGAACACAAGCUGCAAAGUCACCUUGAGGUUGUCGGAACUCGUCCCAGCAGGGUGACAGUGAACCACUGGCCCAGGGCCCCUGGCAGCUGGUUGCCAUGUUUGAUCGUCACUAUGGUAACAACCCUCUGCCCACUGUCGCCCACCACAUGCUGAAAGGUUGUUUUCACCGGCGUCCUCUGACUUGCCUGAAGACUGAAGAAGAAUAGUUGGUUUGUAUUGUUAGAUAACAACCACCACCAGGGACUACACAGACAGUAUACUGCUUACACAAAGAUCGCAAAAAAGGAUGAAGUUUUACACACUCACAUUUUGAUUCACACUGUUCAUGCUUGUUGAGGAACACAGAUGGAUGAAAUGAAAGGCUGAUUUGUCUUGACUGCCUCCCAUUUUGUUCCUGUUGGAGAUCGAGGCGUCCACUCCAGGUGUUCCUUGUUUGUUGUCGGAUAUGAUCACACGUCCCUGGAGGCAGCACAGUAGGUCUCCUGAUGCUUCUUUAUCCCACACCUGCAUGAAUUUCACUUCCCUUCCAUCUGCUGCUUAUUCAUCAUUUCUGUCACCCCAUUUUUGCAUUUUAUCACUGCACCAGAGCACAACUGACAUGGUGCCUUCCAGUGAUGGUCUUAGAGGUGGUGAUCCGCCCUAACAGGCAGGGACGACGUAGUGGGACUCAGGGUUGAUGUUUUCCUGGUUGUGCAUACCGUCCAAGUUAUACUGAAUUCUGUCAUGAUCAUUUCCAAAUUGAUCUGCUGCCUAAAUGAGUGAGAACAUUUCAAAUGAAAUCAUUAUUAGCUCAUGUGCACCUGCUGCUUUCUCUUGUUACUCUUAUUCUCUUCUACACGUAUGUAAAUUGUUUGUAAAUGUUAUCGAUGCCUACCUCUGUUUUUUAACUAUCCACUUGCUGCUGUAAUAAUGUGAAUUUCCUCAUUGUGAGACAAUAAAGGAAAUCUUUACAAGAUACAAGAUAGGUUUAUUCGUCACACACACAAUCAUACACGGUACAAUGUGCAGU